UACGAAGGGGGCUAGCGUUGCUCGGAAUUACUGGGCGUAAAGCGCACGUAGGCGGCUUUCUAAGUCGGGGGUGAAAUCCUGGAGCUCAACUCCAGAACUGCCUUCGAUACUGGAGAGCUUGAGUCCGGGAGAGGUGAGUGGAACUGCGAGUGUAGAGGUGAAAUUCGUAGAUAUUCGCAAGAACACCAGUGGCGGAGGCGGCUCACUGGCCCGGUACUGACGCUGAGGUGCGAAAGCGUGGGGAGCAAACAGG
rnacentral:rRNA from 1 species